CUACGUGCCAGCAGCCGCGGUAAUACGGAGGAUGCGAGCGUUAUCCGGAUUUAUUGGGUUUAAAGGGUGCGUAGGCGGCCUGUUAAGUCAGCGGUGAAAUCUAGGAGCUUAACUCCUAAAUUGCCAUUGAUACUGGCGGGCUUGAGUGUAGAUGAGGUAGGCGGAAUGCGUGGUGUAGCGGUGGAAUGCAUAGAUAUCACGCAGAACUCCGAUUGCGAAGGCAGCUUACUAAGGUACAACUGACGCUGAAGCACGAAAGCGUGGGUAUCAAACAGGAUUAGAUACCCUGGUAGUCCACGCAGUAAACGAUGAUAACUGGGCGUAUGCGAUAUACAGUAUGCUCCUAAGCGAGAGCGUUAAGUUAUCCACCUGGGGAGUACGCCGGCAACGGUGAAACUCAAAGGAAUUGACGGGGGCCCGCACAAGCGGAGGAACAUGUGGUUUAAUUCGAUGAUACGCGAGGAACCUUACCCGGGCU
rnacentral:rRNA from 1 species